CCUACGGGAGGCAGCAGUGAGGAAUAUUGGUCAAUGGACGAGAGUCUGAACCAGCCAAGUAGCGUGAAGGAUGACUGCCCUAUGGGUUGUAAACUUCUUUUAUAUGGGAAUAAAACGUUCCACGUGUGGGGUUUUGUAUGUACCAUAUGAAUAAGGAUCGGCUAACUCCGUGCCAGCAGCCGCGGUAAUACGGAGGAUCCGAGCGUUAUCCGGAUUUAUUGGGUUUAAAGGGAGCGUAGGGGGAUUGUUAAGUCAGUUGUGAAAGUGUGCGGCUCAACCGUAAAAUUGCAGUUGAAACUGGCAGUCUUGAGUACAGGAGAGGUGGGCGGAAUGCGUGGUGUAGCGGUGAAAUGCUUAGAUAUCACGAAGAACUCCGAUUGCGAAGGCAGUUCACUGGACUGCAACUGACACUGAGGCUCGAAAGUGUGGGUAUCAAACAGGAUUAGAUACCCUAGUAGUC
rnacentral:rRNA from 1 species